rnacentral:lncRNA from 10 species
CUGCUCCAUCUCCCAGGCUGGAGUGCAGUGGCACGAUUUUGGCUCACUGCAACAUCCCAGGUUCAAGCGAUUCUCAUGCCUCAGCCUCCCAUGAGUAGCUGGGAUUACAGGCACCCACCACCACACCAGGCUAAUUUUUGUUUUGAUUUGUUUUGUUUUAGUAGAGACAGGGUUUCACCAUGUUGGCUAGGCUGGUCUCGAACUCCUGGCCAGAGGUGAUCCAACAGCCUCAGCCUCACAAAGUGCUGGGAUUACAGGCGUGAGCCACCAUGCCUGGCCCAAAAUAUUUAUGUAAAUAAUAUUCAUUUGCACUGCUGUAGAAAAGCAGAGACGAGUCCUGGGUUGGAACUAAAAUGUCCAAUUUCCAGACUUCAUAAGUGAGAUUCUAUUAUAAAAUAUCGUGGAAAUUUUUUGCAAUGGAGGAUCAGAGUUAAUUUAAUAUAAAGGCUGUUACAAAUAAGUUUCAGUACACUGGAGUUUGAGGUACAGGGACUAAUACCUGGAUUCCAUUUAAAAGCUACACGACUUAUCUGAAAAAUAAUCUAUGUGCUGGGGUUUCAACAAUCUCCAGGGAAUUCAAAACCCCAAAAUUCCCCCAGCUCCUUUAACUCUUGAAGAAAAAAAUGAAUUCUGCAGUUAGUAGACAAAACUUCCAACUCUUCAGGAAAGGACAGAGGUAAAAAAUUAAUUCCUGGGAGUGAAUGAGGAUAUCCCUAUCAAGCUGAUCAAGGCAUCAGCCUCUAAUAAAUAAACAAAAAACAGAUCCAAAGUAGACAGCAACACUUUGAUACGGAAGAUGAAAUAAAAUACAAAAUUCUAGGCCGGGCGCAGUGGCUCACGCAAGAGAUGUUGGGGGCUGUGUGCACUAUCCUGGUUUGCCUUCAAAGCAUCUUUUCAGAGAGCUGCACUUCCUCACAGAGUGAGGGGCUUUGUGAAAUUAGAUGGCAAGCAGAAAUGAGCAAAAUGGCUUCUUACCCUUUUUAC